AUAAAAUGGAGUGUGGUGCAGAGGAUGAAACGCUGGAAAAUUAGAAGGAAAGGAUCCUGAAAGCGGUGCCAGCACUGUCUGUGUAACAGGGAUGUCACCACACUUCAAGACAGAUGAAAACCUGAACAUGCUGUCUUUCACACAGCUUGGGCCUGAAAAUAAUUUUAAUGAAAGGAGUAAUUUUUAAUGUGGUGAUGACAAUCCUUAUGUGGAAGAAAAAAGAAUGAAUGUAACCAGUGAAGACAUAAGUACCAAAAAAAUCUGCUGAGAAUCUUUACAGGAGCAUCGGGUGCAAGAGGGAACACAGGCCAGCGUUCCUGUUGCAACAGAUAUCACAUUGUGUUUUCUGUACAU